AGAUACACUGCAAUAAGGAACUAAAAUGUAAAGCAAUACCCCCUGAACUCGAGGGACAGAGGGGGCGUGGGCAGGACGAGACAUGAAGGCAUCUGAUUGGUUCUUUUGAUUUGGACCAAAUGAUUGGAUAGGGGGGAAGGACUUUUGUCACCCAGCAUAACAAAAAGUGUUUCUGAACAGGAUUACCAACUAUAG